rnacentral:rRNA from 1 species
AUGAACGCUGGCGGCGUGCCUAAUACAUGCAAGUCGAGCGAACAGACGAGGAGCUUGCUCCUCUGACGUUAGCGGCGGACGGGUGAGUAACACGUGGAUAACCUACCUAUAAGACUGGGAUAACUUCGGGAAACCGGAGCUAUUACCGGAUAAUAUAUGGAACCGCAUGGUUCAAUAGUGAAAGUCGGUUUUGCUGUCACUUAUAGAUGGAUCCGCGCGGCAUUAGCUAGUUGGUAAGGUAACGGCUUACCAAGGCAACGAUGCGUAGCCGACCUGAGAGGGUGAUCGGCCACACUGGAACUGGGACACGGUCCAUAGUCCUACGGGAGGCAGCAGUAGGCAAUCUGCCGCAAUGGGCGGAAGCCUGACGGAGCAACGCCGCGUGAGUGAUGAAGGUCUUCGGAUCGUAAAACUCUGUUAUUAGGGAAGAACAAAUGUGUAAGUAACUAUGCACGUCUUGACGGUACCUAAUCAGAAAACCACGGCUAACUACGUG